rnacentral:tRNA from 1 species
GCCGAAGUGGUGAAAUUGGCAAACACGCAGCGUUCAGAACGCUGUGAGUGUAAACUCUUGAGAGUUCAAAUCUCUCCUUCGGCA